UACGUAGGGUGCGAGCGUUAAUCGGAAUUACUGGGCGUAAAGCGUGCGCAGGCGGUUUUGUAAGCCGGAUGUGAAAUCCCCGGGCUUAACCUGGGAAUGGCAUUCGGGACUGCAAGGCUGGAGUGCGGCAGAGGAGACUGGAAUUCCUGGUGUAGCAGUGAAAUGCGUAGAUAUCAGGAGGAACACCGAUGGCGAAGGCAGGUCUCUGGGCUGACACUGUCGCUCAUGCACGAAAGCGUGGGGAGCAAACAGG
rnacentral:rRNA from 1 species